AUAAUUUCGACAGUCGAAAUUAUAAUAUCAACACCCUUUUUAAAGUCGCUAUUAAUUUCGAUAGUCGCUAUUUCAUGACGUCACUUCGUUAGUUCAACUAAAAUCCACAAGGCUCGCACAAUCGCAUUUCAACCGUCGCCAUAUUGAAAGCGACUUGUUUAGUGUCGAAAUUUGAUUUAGAAUCAGGCCCCUGUUCCUUUGUUUUUUAGUGUUACACUUUUGAGUGUAAGUGUACGAAAUUCUCAUGAAAUUCUAUGAACAUUUGAGUGUAAAAUGACAGCGGACAGUAUUAAACGAAAAUUAUCGGUGUGCCAAUCAAGCAAAGGGACAAGGAACUUCCGAAUAUGGCCUAACUGGGGGCACAUAACAUAACAUAACCUAAUUAAUCCUAAUAUUUACAUUUGUAAAGAAUAUCCUGUUUGUUUUUAUUGUCGAUUGUGCAGCAAAUCAAAUAUAAAGUAGUUUAUCGCCUACAGAACUGAAUUAGUCCAUAGCAGUUAUCAGUUUUUCUUUCUUGGGAAGCUUAUACAUGUAACUUGUAUUGUUGUAAAUUGUGGGAGUAGGGCAGACAGGGAAAAGUCUUAUUUUGUACUGUUCCCAAGGCUCCCCAUGCAAUACAUUUAAAUGAAUUAUCCAAACAAAGCUGGGGACAAUGGAUAAAAGCCACAAGAAGAACAGAUAUAAGGGAACUAAAAUUAAAAUAUGAAAAGUAAACAUUUUGUAAGUGGAACAACCACCGGAUAUUUAAAAGGUAUAAAAAGAAGAAACUGCUGGAAUUUCAAAACAAAUGUGUUUGACUAGUAAAGAUUUGGAUAAAUAACAGGAGUUACUUUGGGCUAUAGCUAAGUGCAGAUUUAUUUCCUUGUGGCUUCCUAUGUUAAUUCUUAUUAAUUAUACACUUAAAUAUGUUUUUAGUCUCAGGAAGAUUUUAUAUUUGAUUAUUUUUGAAUAAACAUUAUUAUUAUUAUUACCUUAAUUUCCAUUAAAUAAAUUAACUGUAAUCAAUAAAGUAAUCGUUUAAUUGUUAAUAAAUUAUCAAGUAUGA